CUGAGUGCUGGGAUUAAAGGCAAGCG
rnacentral:piRNA from 1 species